rnacentral:tRNA from 1 species
GGGCGAUUGGUCUAGUGGUUAAGAUAGCUCCUCUCUGUCCGACUUGCUGAACGAGUGCUGUUUGUCAGGCUUGCCGGUUACCAUCCAAUUUGGGGUCUGACUCACCCCGGCUUUGUCGCGAGAAAAGGAGUUGACCCAAGUUCGAUUCUUGGAUUGCCCA